rnacentral:lncRNA from 1 species
CAGGAGGCCUGUCCCCAUCACUGAGGUUGAGGGGACUGAGGACGAAGCCCGGCAGGCCGCAGCGCCAGACAGGACCAAAGCAGCAGAAUCGGAGACAGGAGAAACAUCAACAACAUCCACAUCAACCCCAGCCCCACCAGAUACCCACUGUGGAGGAAGAGGAGGAGGAGGAAGAGGAGAGGAGGCAGUAACCAUCAACCUCAAGCCCUCGAACGCCUACGAGUUCAACCAGUCCCUGAACGCAGCGCGGACCCAGUCCGACCUCCCAGCCUGCGCUGAGCUGCUGAGCUGUGUUCCCCCUGAGACUCUGCCCGUCUACCUCAGUAAUCAGCUGGAUGGACACACGGUCAGCUUUGUUAUGCAGGCCCUGGAAACACAGCUCUUACGGAAGGAGCCUAACUUAGUCUACCAGCACCUCAACCACCUACAUACUGCUGACAGGUUCUCGGUCGUCGUGAUGCUCCUGGAGAAGAGUGAACGUGAUCAGAUGACUCGACUGUUUGACCGUCUGUCCGCCGUGGACAGUGAUGCCUUCAGUAAGAACGACGUGCAGAACCUGGCCAACAAGUACAUCUGACCUCGUCUGGCCCUGCUGGAGCACGUCCCAAAUAGGCCCCUAUUUACCUAGUGCACUAUGGAGGGAAUAAGGCGCCAUAAUGGGACGGUCGUAAGACGCCUAUCAACAUCGCAAGCCGACUUUAAAAACGAAUCCAGACUGGAAAAAUCACCUUUCCGUCAUAAAUAAAGACUAAAUAUUAUUUUGGUAGGUCAAGUCUUAAUUUACCCAUGAUUACAUCGCGUUGUUUUGAUGAUGUUCUCGAACUCGACCCCUUCGUUCUGGCGUGCACCUUCCUGUCGUACGCCGAAGCGUCCCGACGUAACAGACAGGAUCUAUGCAACGUUGGACAACACGACUCAGAAGCUGCUGAACGUACUGGGGAGCGUUAUGGACCCAAAACCCACCUCUUUCUUUCUCUCAAGUUCUCUCGGUAUAAUAUCACGUCUCUACCUACUGUUACUAGAAAUGACCAGAAGUUAUGAAAAUGCCCCAGCCAGUCAGCCAGCCAGCCAGCAGAGCACCCUUCCAUCUGCAGUAAUCAGAAGUAUAAUGCUCUGUAACAUGCAGCCAGCCAGCCAGUCAGCCAGCCAGCCAGCCAGUGGAGCACCCUUCCAUCUGCAGUAAUCAGCAGUCUAAUGCUCUGUAACAUGCAGCCAGCCAGCCAGCCAGCCAGCCAGCCAGCCAGCCAGUCAGCAGAGCACCCUUCCAUCUGCUCACAGUGGAGAGAAGACAAGCAGCAUCUUUGUCAGAUGUGCCUUUGGAGUUCAGCUUUUGGAUCUACACUGUUCUGUUGUGUACCCAUUUCAGAUGUUCUGUUGUGUACCCAUUUCAGAUGUUCUGUUGGGUACCCAUUUCAGAUGUUCUGUUGUGUACCCAUUUCAGAUGUUCUGUUGGGUACCCAUUUCAGAUGUUCUGUUCUGUUGGGUACCCAUUUCAGAUGUUCUGUUCUGUUGGGUACCCAUUUCAGAUGUUCUGUUGGGUACCCAUUUCAGAUGUUCUGUUCUGUUGGGUACCCAUUUCAGAUGUUCUGUCGUGUACCCAUUUCAGAUGUUCUGUUCUGUUGGGUACCCAUUUCAGAUGUUCUGUCGGGUACCCAUUUCAGAUGUUCUGUUGGGUACCCAUUUCAGAUGUUCUGUUGGGUACCCAUUUCAGAUGUUCUGUUGUGUACCCAUUUCAGAUGUUCUGUUGGGUACCCAUUUCAGAUGUUCUGUUGUGUACCCAUUUCAGAUGUUCUGUUGGGUACCCAUUUCAGAUGUUCUGUUGUUCUGUUGGGUACCCAUUUCAGAUGUUCUGUCGUGUACCCAUUUCAGAUGUUCUGUUGUUCUGUUGUGUACCCAUUUCAGAUGUUCUGUUGUGUACCCAUUUCAGAUGCCCAUUUCAGAUGUUCUGUUGGGUACCCAUUUCAGAUGUUCUGUUGGGUACCCAUUUCAGAUGUUCUGUUGGGUACCCAUUUCAGAUGUUCUGUUGUGUACCCAUUUCAGAUGUUCUGUUGGGUACCCAUUUCAGAUGUUCUGUUGGGUACCCAUUUCAGAUGUUCUGUUGUUCUGUUGGGUACCCAUUUCAGAUGUUCUGUCGUGUACCCAUUUCAGAUGUUCUGUUGUUCUGUUGUGUACCCAUUUCAGAUGUUCUGUUGUGUACCCAUUUCAGAUGUUCUGUUGGGUACCCAUUUCAGAUGUUCUGUUGUUCUGUUGGGUACCCAUUUCAGAUGUUCUGUCGUGUACCCAUUUCAGAUGUUCUGUUGUUCUGUUGUGUACCCAUUUCAGAUGUUCUGUUGUUCUGUUGUAUGCCCAUUUCAGAUGUUCUGUUGGGUACCCAUUUCAGAUGUUCUGUUGGGUACCCAUUUCAGAUGUUCUGUUGUGUACCCAUUUCAGAUGCCCAUUUCAGAUGUUCUGUUGUUGCAGAUUUAAAAACAUUUAAAAUGACUUGUCAAAAUGUUAGUGUGUUCUUCUUUCUAAAAUGAAUGAAUGUACCGUGUUGAAUUCAGGGAGACGAGCGGAGCGGCAGCUGUUUGUAGCCUGGAGCAAUAGCUGCAUGGUCAGCGGGCUAGCGGCUCAGGGAGGGGGUCAGCAGGCUAGCGGCUCAGGGAGGGGGUCAGCGGCUCAGGGAGGGGGGUCAGCGGCUCAGGGAGGG